rnacentral:rRNA from 1 species
UACAGAGGUGGCAAGCGUUGUUCGGAAUUACUGGGCGUAAAGCGCACGUAGGCGGCUUGGUAUGUCGGGUGUGAAAUCCCCGGGCUCAACCUGGGAACUGCAUCCGAAACUGCCUUGCUCGAGUAUGGGAGAGGGAAGUGGAAUUCCGAGUGUAGAGGUGAAAUUCGUAGAUAUUCGGAAGAACACCAGUGGCGAAGGCGGCUCACUGGACCGGCAUUGACGCUGAUGUGCGAAAGCGUGGGGAGCAAACAGG